GGCUCAGCCUGCCCAGGCCUCACACACCCUGUGUGGAGCCCCUGCCCGGCACUGGCCGUCUGCAGCAGCAGAGGAAGGAGGAGGAGCCUGGGAUGCCCCGCCCCCAACCUCCCCAGAGGGCACGCCCCAGGCCAGCAGAUCCAGAGCUGCAGAUCACAGGGCUGGUGCAAACCACGGAAUGAAUUCUGCACCUUAAAGGAAUGAAGUGCAUGGUAUCUGACCCUAUGCCUCCCAGGAAAGCCGCUACCGAAACAGUAGGUUCUCACUAACCCCCAUGGCACCUGCCACUUCAGCUGCAAAGUGACCGGGGUGCAGAGACAUCGAGUCUGGGCGAAGACCUUGAAGCAAAAUCCCAGCGCAGAGCCUGUGACUCCGAAGCCUUCUGACCCUGGUGGGAACUUCCUCCAGCCGCCUACCCUGACUCUCCUGGGCCAGGAGUCGCGUGCUCACUGUGCUGCGCCCAGGGAGACGGGGUCACUCCCACUCCCUGCCGCAGUACCUGUC